CACUACCACGGACAAAAAUAACAACGGAGCUGAAAACUAUGGCCCAAGGGAAAAAUACGAAGCCCCUUCAGUUUCAUUUCUGCUGGCGCUGCAGACAUCGCUGGCCAGUUUCCGCUGCAGUUCUGAAGUGGAACAACAAAGCCACAGCUCAUGAGAUGGAUUCUGCUGCGGCCGAUCACCUCAAGCAUGCCCCCUGCAGAGCUUUAAACUUUUUUUUUUCUUUUCUUGUUUGACUUCUCAGAAACUAAAAUGCAAGAUUUUGUCUUGUUAAAUAAUCACCUUGAUUUCCUUUACAUUAAAACAUUGAAAAUCAUGUACAAUACUGACACAGCUUAUGGUUCAAAGGUUUGAAAAUUCUUUCUGAAUUGAUGCAUAGGAUCUUUGUCUUAGUCCUAAGGAAGUUCAUGGUCCAGUUUUAUGUUCCACAAAUGAAAUUAAUAAUAACUACACGUUUUCAAUAAAGUUUCCAUUUAACAAA